rnacentral:rRNA from 1 species
CGGGAAAUUGCCUUAGUAACGGCGAGUGAAGCGGCAAAAGCUCAAAUUUGAAAUCUAGCACUUUCAGUGUUCGAGUUGUAAUUUGAAGAAGGUAACUUUGGAAUUGGCUCUUGUCUAUGUUCCUUGGAACAGGACGUCACAGAGGGUGAGAAUCCCGUGCGAUGAGAUGUCCAAUUCUAUGUAAAGUGCUUUCGAAGAGUCGAGUUGUUUGGGAAUGCAGCUCUAAGUGGGUGGUAAAUUCCAUCUAAAGCUAAAUAUUGGCGAGAGACCGAUAGCGAACAAGUACAGUGAUGGAAAGAUGAAAAGAACUUUGAAAAGAGAGUGAAAAAGUACGUGAAAUUGUUGAAAGGGAAGGGCUUGAGAUCAGACUUGGUAUUUUGUGUUCCUUAUCCUUCUUGGAUUAGGUUCCUCACAGCUUACCGGGCCAGCAUCGGUUUGGAUGGCAGGAUAAUGACAUUGGAAUGUAGCUUUGCUUCGGUGAAGUGUUAUAGACUUUGUUGAUACUGCCUAUCUAGACCGAGGACUGCGUCUUUGACUAGGAUGCUGGCGUAAUGAUCUUAAGCCGCCCGUCUUGAAACACGGACC